rnacentral:rRNA from 1 species
UACGGAGGGUGCAAGCGUUAGUCGGAUUUACUGGGCAUAAAGGGCGCGUAGGCGGGGGGAUAAGUCAGUUGUGAAAUCCCGGAGCUCAACUCCGGAACGGCAACUGAUACUGUCUCUCUCGAGGGUAGGCGGAGAAAACGGAAUUCCACGUGUAGCGGUGAAAUGCGUAGAUAUGUGGAAGAACACCCGUGGCGAAAGCGGUUUUCUAGCUUACUCCUGACGCUGAGGCGCGAAAGCAAGGGGAGCAAACAGG